AAUGAUCGUGUUUCUCUGCAGAUCAACAGUUCUAGUGUAUCUAUACGUAUAAAGCCAUGUAUAUAUACGAAGAGGCAGACCUGGAUGAGUUCCAUGAGGAAAUGAACAUCUUUAGCGUAAAGCUCUGCAGAGAGAUUUUUAACAGCCUGAUGAAGAUCCUCUGUCAGUGGAUUCGCUUCUUCAGCUCCGAUCGAAAACUUGUUUCUUCUUAUUUUCUCUAUGUGCUCCCUUGGUGUCUCCAUUCUUAUCGCCCUGUGAUCUCACAAUACGACUUUUCAGUGUAUCGCUCUGAAGAUUGAAGGACAAAUGUGAGACAUGAAGAAGCAGUUGAAUAGCUUUAGCAUGUNNN
rnacentral:lncRNA from 1 species